CUAGGAAAAUGCAAAAGAAAAUAAAAGAAAAAUAGAAAAAGAAAGAAUAGCAGCUGAAGUGGUUCGCCGCCGCUGGUAGUAGUCGUAACGGAACAGUGAAAGUUUUUUACCCCCGGGUAGUUUGCACUAAUCCCACCAUAUCAUAUAUUUCAGCCUUCAGCUUGGGUUCGAUUGACCAGAAUAUAAGGUCCAACAUCUAACAUCCUA